GACAGAGGGUGCAAACGUUUGUUCGGAAUUACCGGUGGCGUAAAGCGCGUGUAGGCUGCUUGGAAAGUCGGAUGUGAAAGCCCUGGGCUCAACCCAGGAAGUGCAUUCGAAACUUCCGAGCUCGAGUUCUGGAGAGGAUAGCGGAAUUCUCGGUGUAGAGGUGAAAUUCGUAGAUAUCGAGAGGAACACCGGUGGCGAAGGCGGCUAUCUGGACAGAAACUGACGCUGAGACGCGAAAGCGUGGGGAGCAAACAGG
rnacentral:rRNA from 1 species